CGCAGUCCCUGUGGACAUCCAGAGCAGCCCCAGCCAGCAGGGAGAACAGCACCCAAAAACCCAGGUGCACUGCCCUGGCCAGCCUGGUCUGGCUGCUCACUGAUGGACCAGGGCAGACCAAUGCACUCCCCACAGGAAAGCAGAGAGGUGUCUAUUUCUCAAAACUGCAUUUUAGAAGGCAAGAGGCCCUCAAGAUGGGUGCUGCAGGAGUGGGACACGCUGUCUGGCAAAGGCAAAGGGCAGCCAAGGGGGCUGUGGCUGUGGCCCAGAGCUGCCAGUGGCACUGCACAGUUUCCUGCUGCCCUUCCUGCAGGGAAGGCUCCUGCAGGACCCUCCAGCAGCAGCUGCUGGGAUGUGCAGAGCCACAGACCUGAGCUCUUUGCUGCUCCUCUUGCCAUCCCUCUCCCCUCAGUUCUCCAAGGUGACCAAGUGGACCCUCUGAAACACCUUCUCCCAAAAGAUUCAUUUAUGGCAGUUCCUCAAGCAGCAUUGCUUUUGAGGAAAUCCAAGAAGAUGUAUUUGAAAGCAAUAGUAUUGUGACUGCACAAUAAAAGCCAUUUACCCU
rnacentral:lncRNA from 1 species